rnacentral:rRNA from 1 species
GAUGAACGCUGGCGGCGUGCUUAACACAUGCAAGUCGAACGAAGCACUUUGGAUAGAUUUCUUCGGAUUGAUAUCCUUGGUGACUGAGUGGCGGACGGGUGAGUAACGCGUGGGUAACCUGCCUCAUACACGGGGGAUAACAGUUAGAAAUGGCUGCUAAUACCGCAUAAGCGCACAGUACCACACUGGUACCGUGUGAAAAACUCCGGUGGUAUGAGAUGGACCCGCGUCUGAUUAGCUAGUUGGCAGGGUAACGGCCUACCAAGGCGACGAUCAGUAGCCGACCUGAGAGGGUGAUCGGCCACAUUGGGACUGAGACACGGUCCAA